rnacentral:tRNA from 1 species
GGAUAUAUAGCUCAGUUGGUAGAGUGCUUGCCUUGCAUGCACAAAGCCCUGGGUUCAAUCCCCAGCAUCA